rnacentral:rRNA from 1 species
AAACUUUCAACAACGGAUCUCUAUGGUUCUCGCAUCGAUGAAGAACGCAGCGAAAUGCGAUACGUCAAUAUGAAAUUGCAGAUAUGUCGUGAAUCAUCGUAUCUUUGAACGCACAUUGCGCCCUAUUGGUAUAUCCGGAGGGCAUGCCUGUAUUGAGCGUGCGUU